UANCUNGGUGUGAGCCAUUCAGUUGGUUCGUGCCNGAGCUAACGCGUUAAGUAUGCCCGCCUGGGGAGUACGGUCGCAAGGUUGAAACUCAAAGGAAUUGANCGGGGGCCCGCACAAGCGGUGGAGCAUGUGGUUUAAUUCGACGCAACGCGAAGAACCUUACCCAGGCUGGACAUGCCAGGUAGUAGAAGGGUGAAAGCCCAACGAGGUAGCAAUACCAUCCUGCUCAGGUGCUGCAUGGCUGUCGUCAGCUCGUGCCCGUGAGGUGUUGGGUUAAGUCCCGCAACGAGCGCAACCCCCUGUCUUCAGUUACUAACGGGUCAAGCCGAGAACUCUGGAGAGACUGCCCAGGAGAANCGGGGAGGAAGGUGGGGAUGACGUCAAGUCAGCAUGGCCUUUAUGCCUGGGGCUACACACGUGCUACAAUGGCCGGUACAAAGGGCUGCAAACCCGUAAGGGGGAGCGAAUCUCAAAAAACCGGCCUCAGUUCAGAUNCGAGGUCUGCAACUCGACCUCGUGAAGGCGGAAUCGCUAGUAAUCCCGGAUCAGCACGCCGGGGUGAAUACGUUCCCGGGCCUUGUACACACCGCCCGUCACACCACGAAAGUUUGUUGUACCUGAAGUCGUUGGCGCCAACCGCCAAGGGGGCAGACGCCCACGGUAUGACCGAUGAUUGGGGUGAAGUCGUAANCAAGGUACC
rnacentral:rRNA from 1 species